UCAGCAGAGAUUAUGCAGUGUUCUUUGGCUUCAAUAUUCGAAUUAAUAUUUUUAUGGUUUUUUUAGAUGACACAAAUUAUUUAUGACAGCAAUAUCAAAUCCCUAGUUCUUUCAAAAGAAAGUCUUACUCUUCUCUGAUGGUUAAUUUUGUCACAGGAUCAUGAAUUUUCUAAAACUGAGGAACUACAACUGGAAGACGUGGAUGAGGAAAUUAAUGCUGAAAAUCUGGAAAGCAAGAAGAAAAUUGUGGGAGAUGAUGAAAGUGUUCCUACAGGUUCCCACAGUAAAACAGAAGGAGCAGAAAGAACCAAUGAUGAUAGCUCAGCUGAAACCAUUGAAAAGAAAGAAAAAGCCAACCUGGAGGAACGGGCCAUUUUUGAAUACAAUGAAAACCCAAAAGGAUACAUGCUUGAUGAUGCAGGGAGCAGUUCCUUAGAAAUCCUAGAAAAUAGUGAAUCAACACCAAGCAAAGACAUGAAAAAAACACAGAAGAUUUUUCUAUUCAAAAGGGUCCCCUCAAUACAUCAAAAGAUGGUCAAGGAUAACGAUGAGCCGCUCUCAGAGAUAAAAUCCAUAGGAGAGCAGAUCAUUUUAAAAAGCAAUAAUAAAGAUGCUGACCAGAACCGCGUGAGUCAGAAUCAUCAGAAUAUUCCACCAGCAAAUACAGAGAGAAGAUCAAAAUCCUGUACAAUACUAUAAAUAUAUAUUUAUGUUUUCACAGUCACCAAGUGUACUGUAAUUUAUACUUGAAAAACGUUAUAACUUAUGAAGGAAAGUUUCUUAUAGUAAUCUUUUAAAGAUAUAAGUCAAUAUGUUUUAUUCGGCUUCUAUCAGUGUGACCAGUUGUGAUAUUUAUUUAUGCUAAUAUUUUUAACAAGUUGUUUCAAAAUAUGUGUAUCUCAAAUUCUCCCUCAAGUGUUGUGGCCUUAACUGUUCAGUGUUGCAAUAAAAAAUAUAUUUUUAUACAUUGAAAAUUGAAAUAAGAUAUUUCAUAGCUUUACUAAACAAUUUUACUUCUUUAUAAUUUUAUAAGGCAAUAUUUGCAAUCUCAUGACACUGUAACAGUUUUUGAUGUAUUUACAGUUUUUACAAAACAUAAAAUUGUUUAUAAUGAACAUAUUUUAAUAAACUAUAUCUGGUCAGUUCCA